CGACCUGAGAUCAGACGAGAUUACCCGCUGAAUUUAAGCAUAU
rnacentral:rRNA from 1 species